AUUCCAGCUCCAAUAGCGUAUAUUUAAGUUGUUGCAGUUAAAAAGCUCGUAGUUGGAUUUUGGGUCGGGGGUACCGGUCCGGUGUUUCACUGUGCACUGGUCUCCCCUUCCUUUCUGCCGGGGACGGCGUUUGCUCUUAAUUGGGCGGCGUCGGAGUCGGCGUUGUUACUUUGAAAAAAUUAGAGUGUUCAAAGCAAGCCAUCGCUCUGAAUACAUUAGCAUGGAAUAACAUGAUAGGACUCCGGUCUUAUUUUGUUGGUUUCCGAGACUGGAGUAAUGAUUAAGAGGGACAGUCGGGGGCAUCCGUAUUUCAUUGUCAGAGGUGAAAUUCUUGGAUUUAUGAAAGACGAACUUCUGCGAAAGCAUUUGCCAAGGAUGUUUUCAUCA
rnacentral:rRNA from 1 species